GACGAACGCUGGCGGCGUGCUUAACACAUGCAAGUCGAACGGAAAGGCCUGCUUUCCCUUGUGGAUUGCGGGUACUCGAGUGGCGAACGGGUGAGUAACACGUGAGUGAUCUGCCCCCAACUUGGGUAUAAGCCUGGGAAACUGGGUCUAAUUCCCGAUAGGACUGCAGGGUGGUGCCUGUGGUGGAAAACGAUUUUCUAGUGGUUGGGGAUGAGCUCGCGGCCUAUCAGCUUGUUGGGGGGGUAAUGGCCUACCAAGGCGGCGACGGGUAGCCGGCCUGAGAGGGUGGACGGCCACAUUGGGACUGAGAUACGGCCCAGACUCCUACGGGAGGCAGCAGUGGGGAAUAUUGCACAAUGGGCGGAAGCCUGAUGCGGCGACGCCGCGUGGGGGAUGACGGCCUUCGGGUUGUAAACUCCUUUCGACCGCGAGGAAGCCACCUGGUUGGAAGGGUGGUGACGGUAGUGGUAGAAGAAGCACCGGCUAACUACGUG
rnacentral:rRNA from 1 species